UUGAACGCUGGCGGCAUGCCUUACACAUGCAAGUCGAACGGCGGCACGGGUGCUUGCACCUGGUGGCGAGUGGCGAACGGGUGAGUAAUACAUCGGAACAUGUCCUGUAGUGGGGGAUAGCCCGGCGAAAGCCGGAUUAAUACCGCAUACGAUCUACGGAUGAAAGCGGGGGACCUUCGGGCCUCGCGCUAUAGGGUUGGCCGAUGGCUGAUUAGCUAGUUGGUGGGGUAAAGGCCUACCAAGGCGACGAUCAGUAGCUGGUCUGAGAGGACGACCAGCCACACUGGGACUGAGACACGGCCCAGACUCCUACGGGAGGCAGCAGUGGGGAAUUUUGGACAAUGGGCGAAAGCCUGAUCCAGCAAUGCCGCGUGUGUGAAGAAGGCCUUCGGGUUGUAAAGCACUUUUGUCCGGAAAGAAAUCCUUGGCCCUAAUACGGUCGGGGGAUGACGGUACCGGAAGAAUAAGCACCGGCUAACUACGUG
rnacentral:rRNA from 1 species